UCUUGUUUUGCUUCUUUAUAUAGCACACUGGAUUUUGUUAUCAUAUAAUUUUGAUUUACCAUGACAAUCAUAUAAGCACUUUUUUACCGUUCACUGCACUUUGUUGUUUUUUUAUUUACCAACUAAUCAGGAGGCAUCAUUCAAAGAAAGUACUUCCACGUUGUAAAUAAGCUGAAUAUGACUGUUCUUGUUAUAAAAUCAAAAGGUGCUAAAAAUAAUAAAAAUAGCUAAAAAUAUAAAUGAUAUAUAAAUUUGAAAAUGUUUAUAAUAUUUUAUAAUUGAAUCUUUUAAAUAUAUAUUAAUAUAAAAAGAAUUAAAACAGUCAGAGAGUGUGCGUUAGAGGAGGGCCUAUAGCCUCCAAAUCACUUUUAAUUCUAAAUCUGUUCUUUUUUUAGCAGAAGAAACAACAUUAAAAGCAACAACCCUAUGGACUUUGGAUUUUUCACAGAUGAAAAUUUGUUAGAUUUUUUCUCCCGAAACAAGUCAAAGAUAAAUACAAUGGAAAAGCCGUUAACGUUUCUCCGACAUCUCAAGGACAACAGACUCAUCACAGAUGACCUUUGUGUAAGCAUUAUCUGAAAAUUUCUGACCAAUAAUACAUCAAUAUUAAGGCAAAAAGACUUAAUUUACAUUUUUGCAUUUAUUUAUUUUUUAAGCCAAAGUUUGAGAACACUGUUGGCGAUAAAGUGUAUCAGGCAUUGGAGUACAUUGAAAAACGUGGAAAGAAGAAUGUUAGAAAGUUCUGGGAAUGUGUGUCCCAGGAGCAUAUAUUAGAGCAUUACCCUCAACUCUCUGAAAUCACUGCAGCUCUGAUGAACUCUCAUAAGAGUCAGCCAAAUAAAGAAAAACGAGAAAGAGAUGAGGAUCAAGGCACAGGAAAAGAGAGAGAGGUUAAAAAGAGAAGGACAGAGAGCAACUCUGUGAGUGACCAAGCUGGACCAUCAUCACAAAGCAUUAGCAGCCAGAGGACGACAGAUAAACACGUGAAGAGAGGUGAGUUCUGAGUCCGAUAACUGAUUGACCAGACUGUC
ensembl:lncRNA